GUGAAUUAGAAUUUGAAAAACUAUUUUCCAGCUAUCAUCACUAGCAGCCAGCAUGCAACGUGUUAACUAUGUGGCAGCUAGUCAAGAUGACAUCCAUAUAACUAUGAGGAAGGUUUUAUUCUCCCUUAUGGAGGUUGUUGUCAUAUCUUCUAAACAUUUAAGUCUAGUGACUGAGCUGACCUAGACUCCACAUUAAUUUACAGGUCACACCCCAAUGGUAAAAUGCGGACUUUGUUAAACAGUUUAAAAGAUUUCCCGAUUUUGCUGUAAAGUGGCCCUCUACAGCACUGAAUGGUUUUACCCUGUUUGAUCUGGGGCCAUUUGGACUUUAGUGACUAAUCCUGACACUAAUUAAUUGUUUAAAGUGAAC